rnacentral:ncRNA from 2 species
UUCUUAUCGAGAGAGGCGGAGGGACUGACCCUGUGAGGCCUCGGCAACCAGCAUAUCAUGCCCGGUGCCAAUUUCAGAGGAAUUUUAACAAUUCCGUAGAUAAGAA